rnacentral:rRNA from 1 species
ACAUACGACCAUAGCCUCUAGAGAACUCGGGAUCCCGUCCGCUCUCCCAUAGAUAAGCUAGAGAGCGCCGGAUUAGUAGUUGGGUCGGUGACGACCAGCGAAUCCCCGGUGUUGUAUGUU